rnacentral:rRNA from 1 species
AGAGUUUGAUCAUGGCUCAGAAUGAACGUUGGCGGUGCGCCUUAUGCAUGCAAGUCGAACGGGGUUACGGUCUUCGGAUUGUAACCUAGUGGCGAAUGGCUGAGUAACACGUAAGUAACCUGCCUUGGAGUGGGAAAUAACUUGCCGAAAGGCAAGCUAAUGUCCCAUGUGGUAACGAAGCAAAUGCUUGGUUAUUAAAGCCUUAGGGUGCUCCAAGAGGGACUUGCGUCUGAUUAGCUAGUUGGUAGGGUAAUGGCCUACCAAGGCGAUGAUCAGUAGCUGGUCUGAGAGGAUGGUCAGCCAGAUGGGGACUGAGACACGGCCCCAACUCCUACGGGAGGCAGCAGCAAGGAAUCUUGGGCAAUGAGCGAAAGCUUGACCCAGCGACACCGCGUGAGGGAGGAAGGCCUUCGGGUUGUAAACCUCUUUUCUUGGGGAAGAAUUCUGACGGUACCCAAGGAAUAAGCCUCGGCCAACUACGUGCCAGCAGCCGCGGUAAUACGUAGGAGGCGAACGUUAUUCGGAUUUACUGGGCGUAAAGGGAGCGUAGGCGGUUCCUUAAGUCAGAUGUGAAACCUUCUGAUUCAAUCAGAAGGCGUCAUUUGAUACUGAGGGACUUGAGAAUAGCAGAGGGAAAUGGAAUCCCCAGUGUAGCGGUGAAAUGCGUAGAUNUUGGGGAGAACACCAGUGGCGAGGGCGA